rnacentral:rRNA from 1 species
UACGUAGGGUGCUAGCGUUAUCCGGAUUUACUGGGCGUAAAGGGUGCGUAGGUGGUCUUUCAAGUCGGUGGUAAAAGCCCACGGCUCAACCGUAGUAAGCCGUCGAAACUGGAAGACUUGAGUGCAGGAGAGGAAAGUGGAAUUCUCAGUGUAGCGGUGAAAUGCGUAGAUAUUGGGAAGAACACCAGUGGCGAAGGCGGCUUUCUGGACUGUAACUGACACUGAGGCACGAAAGCGUGGGUAGCGAACAGG